GCUCAUGUAAGUUUUUUCAGCCAAUAACUUCUUAUUCCCAUCUGUAUUUAAUUACCACUGUUUUUAUGCGUUUACGUCAGAACCUUAUUGACCCCUUUUUAAUGUACCGCCAUUGAGGGCUCCUGCGGCACCUCCAUCUCCAAAGUCGUCGCUGUGAAAGGCAACAAGACGCACACAAGUUUCUUCGUUUAUAAUUCUCAUGAUUGUCUUGUUGAGGUUUGUAUGGACUGUUGGUGUCUUUGACGUAACUCAUGAAAUGCAGAAUUUACCAUGCACAUGGAUAUAGCUCUAUAAGGUUUGUGAUUUUUGGACUGAAAGCUCAAAAUUUUAGCAUUUACAUUUGAUUCCUUCCAGAAAUUUGUAGUCUCUUGAAUUGAUAGGUUCUUGGAAUAGUCGGGAGUAGUCAAGUGUGGUGCCAGAUUUUUAUAAAAGGGUCCAGUUCUUGUGGCAUUUGGUGUUCCUUGGUGAAACUCACUGAACAUCAGCUCCCCUGGUUGUUGUCAUAUUUUCUACGGAGUACUUGGUACUCAAGAAUCAUAUUACAUUUCAUUGUGUCAGAUUUAGGACAAAAAUGCCCUUCUGACCUAAAGAAGUUUGCGCGUUGUCGAUUGAAGAAAACAUAAAUAAUAUAUGUUUGCGUAGCUGUGAGAGAACGGUGAGCAAAGAUUUCUAUGUGGAAGUGCUAAUUCACAUAAUAUGGUGGAGAUGAAAUGCAUCCUUAAUAAUCUUCAUCUGAUAUGUUGUCCAAGGAGAAAUGAAUAAUGAUGAGUUAAUUGCAGAUGGGUUUUUUUCAUGAUUUUAACACGUAUGUUCCGUACCUAAGUUUGGUGUUUUGUGUUAAUGUUCCAUAUAGCAUGACCUGUCUGAGUUACUAAUUGGAUAUCUGAUUUGUGGAUGACGGAAGACACAUGCACAUGGAAGACAAUGCUGGGUGCAGUAAAAGAGUUGCUGGAGGCGUAUAAGACGGUUGCCACAACUAUGCAUCGUUGCUAAGCAUAGAAGAAUAAAUGUUGCAUUUUUUCACAUCCUUUUAUUAUUCCUGUUAAGGUAAGGUGCUUAAAGUGUAAAUAAGGUUAGGCUCUUUCCUGUCUCGGUGUAAAAUGGUGCUAGAGCAUUGUGCCCGCAUACGAGUAUCUUCAUAUAGUCUUCAAAUGAUAGUGUGUUCGGAUCUCUCCUGAUAUUUGUGUGAUAUUGGUAUCCAAUGUGUGUAAGUUGUAUCAUGAUUUAUUAUAUCUUUUCUGCUUAUUAUUAUGUUUGCCCGAGGUAA